rnacentral:misc_RNA from 1 species
UCCUGGUUAACCCAGGCAGUCUCAUUAGAGUUCCCAGCCGAACUGUUGGCAACUAAUGAUAAGGGUUGCGCUCGUUGCGGGACUUAACCCAACACCUCACGGCACGAGCUGACGACAGCCAUGCAGCAUCUGUGCAGCAGUCCCGAAGGAAAGAUCCAUUUCUGGACCGGUCUACUGCAUGUCAAGUCUAGGUAAGGUUCUUCGCGUUGCAUCGAAUUAAACCACAUGCACCACUGCUUGUGCGGGUCCCCGUCAAUUCUUUUGAGUUUCACCCUUGCGAGCGUACUCCCCAGGCGGUAUACUUAACACGUUAGCUCCGGCACAGCUAGGGUUGAGCCCAGCUACACCAAGUAUACAUCGUUUACAGCAAGGACUAC